ensembl:lncRNA
CAGCCAUACUAUUUUGAGAUAUACAAGAGAUAGCCUUCUUUAGAGCAGGUUAGAACAUAGGAUUGGGACCACACCAAAAACCUUUCCCUCAUAUUCCAUUUGCAUGUUUGCAGAAGAAGAGAAAUAUGGAGCAAACCUGUGGUGCCAGUGGGACAGAGAGAGAGAGAGAGAGGUGCAGCACCAGAGAAAAUCUGAUCAUGUCAUCUGUUCUACUUCUGUAGCUCUGAAUGCAGAAGAGAAGAGCAUAAGAGGACAUAUGGUUAAAACAGCUAUUUCCUAGUGCUUGCCUAAAUACCGGGGCACUAAUGAAUUUAGAUAAGAAUGAUAUGUGCAUUUUCAGAUUUUAUCCAUGCAACUCUGUGUUUUCUCUAGACCACAGUGCAGACAUAUACCUCUAGGCCAGCUUAGCUUAGCCAAGUGUAUGAGAGACAACCAUCAUUGCAUCUUUCAUAUGUUCCCCAUAUUUCUUUUCUCCAUCUUUAUAAAAUAUAAUGGGAGUGUUAGAGAGUUAACCAUUGGUACACAUUAGGUUUUAAAAACAUUCACCCUUUCAAAUCAGAUUUAUUAAGUUACUAGGUAAAUAUAUUUGCUCUGUAUAAUUAUUACCCUCCCCCCCCCCCCCCCUCCACACACACACACACACUUUAAAAUAAAAUUUAGCUGAAGAAUCUUAGUGUGUUCCUGUACUGAAGGAGACUGGAAAACUAAAUGUAUAACUUCAAGCUUCCAGAAGCAUUCACAGCUUUUCUUUGGUAUCCGCUCUUUCACCUCACCAAAUGUAAACUUACUUGGCUUUUACUCUCUAACUUGAACAUCCACAAUUUACUGCAAAAAUGGAGCCACCUCAUCCCUCACUACUGGGUUAUGUUUGUGAAAGAAAUGGCUAGAGGGAAGGAAGGCUGAAAAGGUUGAGGGCAUGGUUGCUGAAGAGGAUUAAAGUUAAAAAUGGUUAAGGGAGCACAGAGCAUACAGGGGGGCAUACAGGAGGCAGGAAGAGAAGGUGGUAGGAUUUUGUAAUGAUGAAGAGAAAAUGGAGCUUUGGCAUUUGAGUGGAAACACUCAAAGCACAGGACAGACAUGAGGAUCAAAAUGUGGAGACAUACAUUAAAUGUGAUGAAAAAGGAAGAAUUCAAAAGAAAUGAGAAGGAAAAAAAGGGGCAGGAACUGGAACACAGAAGUAACUGAAACUGAUAAAAGGAGAGUGAAGAAGUAGUUUAAAAUAACAGACUGACAGAAAUAAAAAGAGAGAGAAAGAAAGAACAACCAGGGACAAAUUAAAAAUGGGCAGAAAAGUCCACUGAAACUGGUCUUUUUUAUCAGGAUGAGCAAUGAUGUGGAAAGGAAAAGCUUUGCACUUCAUUGUGAAAUCAGGUUUGCAAUAUAUACCCAAACUAAUUCUAUAACAUGCAUAGAUUUUUCUUCCCAUUUAUUCCUGAUUUGCCUCAGAGUCAUCUGGUUCCAACCCCCCUGCCAUGGGCAGGGUUGCCAACCACCAGAUCAGGCUGCCCAGGAUUUCAGCCAACCCGACCUUCAAUGCCACCAGAGAUGGGGCGUUCACAGUCUUUUUGGGCAGCCUAUUUCAGUACCUCACCACUGCUCUGAAUAAAAAAAAAUCUUCUUAACAUUUAACCAAAAUCUCUUCUCUUUUCGUUUAAAGCCAUUCCUCUGGAUCUUAUCACUAUCAGACCACAUAAUAUGUCAGUCCCCCUCCUGCCUGUAAGCACUUUUCAAGUACUGGAAGGCUGCAAUGAGAUUUCCCUGGAGCCUUCUCUUCUCCAAGCAAAGCAAGCUAAACUCCCUCAACUAUUCUUCAUAGGAGAGGUGCUCCAUCCUUUCAUCAUCUUUGUGGUCCUAUUCUGUACCUGCUCCAACAGCUCUGCAUCCUUCCUGUACUAGGGGCCCCAGGCUUGGACCAAGUACUCCAGAUGAGGCUGCACAGGGCAGAGUCAAAUGGGACAAACACCUCCCUCUCCAUGCUGGCCACCCUUUUUUGAGGCAGUCCAUGAUACAGUUGGACACUGCUAGCUCAUGUUUAUCUUUUC